rfam:Zootermopsis nevadensis contig22293, whole genome shotgun sequence.
GCCACGGUGGUCUAACUGUUAGAACGCUAGCCUUGUAAUCCUGGGGUCUCGGGUUCGAUUCCCGGCGGUGCCC